rnacentral:lncRNA from 1 species
GUCGACCGUGGAGCACCGGUAGUUCUUCUCUUCGGGUUGUCCUGUUCAGGGUUUUUUUUAGCCUUAUAUAAACCGUACAACAAUUGCUCUACUACGUUGUCAUGUUUAGGUUGACAGAGAAAUGUGAUGAUGGCGGUAGAAUGUAGGUAACGCUGGGUUUUCUCUUGGCUGAGAUUGGGGAACCAUUCUGCCUGGUCCGCGUCAAGAUUCAGUUACGGAUUUCCAGUUUUGUUCCCCGCGGUUUUGAGCAAGUUGUGUCUGAGAUGAAACUUUUGUCAGUCAAGCUCAAACCUACGGCAUUGGCCAAGUGGUCCAAAUGGAAUGAGCUUAAGCGGUCAAGAGCAUUACACACUGUUUGAUGGAUGUAGCGUAAAAAAAACUGACUUCACAAUACACCAAUUUAUCUAAAUUUGUCGAAAUCCCCAUCCCGCUUAAUUGAGAUA